AGGAUCAACGCUGGCGGCGUGCCUAAUGCAUGCAAGUCGAACGGGGUCGCCUUCGGGCGGCUCACGUGGCGGACGGGUGAGGAACACGUGGCCAAUCUGCCCACCGGCAGGGGGUAGCCCGCGGAAACGCGGGGUAAUUCCGUAUGAUCUCGGGGUUCAAGUGGGGACCUUGAGCAAAGGUCCUUCGGGGCCGCCGGUGGAGGAGGCUGCGGCCGAUUAGUUAGUUGGUGGGGUAACGGCCUACCAAGGCGAUGAUCGGUAGCUGGUCUGAGAGGACGAUCAGCCACACGGGGACUGAGACACGGCCCCGACUCCUACGGGAGGCAGCAGCAAGGAAUUUCCGCAAUGGGCGAAAGCCUGACGGAGCAACGCCGCGUGCGGGAUGACGCUUUUCGGAGUGUAAACCGCUGGUUCGGGGGGACGAAGCACGUGACGGUACCCCGGAGGAAGGCCCGGCGUAACUACGUGACCAGCAGCCGC
rnacentral:rRNA from 1 species